rnacentral:lncRNA from 1 species
CUUUGGUGCAGGCUGGACAGAGCCUCCAGAGCUGGACACACAGCUACUUGCAGCUCGAAUACGCUGCCCGCAGUAAUUAUUUUUUUGAAACAAAUAGAAGACAGAAAUACACCGAGCCGGUCUGGCUGGCUUUGGGCACACACAUCUGUCAUCUAGCACCUCCUGAAGUGUCUCCUAGCUACUCGCCCUGGCCAGGUUCUUGGACAGGAUCCAGGAGGAAACAUGUAAGAACCUUCUGGCCCCACAGAAAGCGCACGGCAUCCAGUUGCUUUGUGGCUGGGCCUCGCAUCUGUUUCCUGUCCUCUGGCAACCCGACCCCAUGCUGGUCGCAGUGACCCUGACUCCAGGCUGGGACGUCUGGCUCCCCGAGCUCCGACCCCUCUCAAGCUCCUAACCCUGCCACCAUCUGCACCCCGCUCCACCUGCCACUGUCUGUACUCAGCUGCACCGUCUGUACCCAGCCUAGUUCAGGGCUGCCUCCUCAAGUCCUGAAAGGCUGCCCAGAAAGAGGCUGUCUUUGCUGUCUUCUGCUGCUGUAAUGAACACGGAGGGUGGGUCAUGUGUAAAGCAAAGAAGUUUAUCAGCUCCAACAGGGCUGGCUGGAAGGUUGGAAGAGGGUAUGGCAGAGCCCACAGGGCAAAGAUGAGCACUGUGGAAGCUUGAAGUUAGGAUGCAGAGGAGGAGUAUACAAAGGUGGGAUGGAAGGGAGGCCUAAAGGUGCUUGGUGCAAAGCAGACACUGCGUUGAGGACAUGGGACUUCCUGGAGGCCCUGAUGGGCCAGGCGCUUCCACAGCAGCAAAUCAGCAGACUUUGUCCGGGUUGCUGAAAAGGGUACUACUUAUUAAUCUAAGUAAUUAUUCCACUGCAGACUGUUAGUAAGACAAUAUACACAUCCAACCAAAGUGAUUCAUAACACUGGGGUUAUUUUGUUGCUGAAGUUAGUUAUAUUUUCU